rnacentral:lncRNA from 1 species
GCUACUAUCUAGAUCUACUCUAGUUUAGAGAAGAGAGGAGAGCUCUCAUCUCUAAACCCUAGCUUUUGCUCUGUCUAUGAAUAAUGAAUAAUGAUGAAGGGGUGCCUCCUCCAGGGGCCAGGGGGUCUGGUUAUAUAGUCCCCUCAAGUGAACCUGGGCCGUCAGAUCAAACCGACAUUGAUUGAACGAUUAUUCUUGAUCCUUUAGGUCGGUGGAGAUCUCCCGAGAGAAAGAGUCCUGAUUGGGCUCCAAGUCAGGGCGGGCGCCCAGGGCAGGAGGGCGGACGCCCUGCCUCUAGCCCCGUUCGGCCUCCGCUUCCUUCCCGUGGCUUCUGGAGUCUUCUAGAUGUAAGAUAAUUGCGCGGCACGUUAAUAUCUCUAUGUAAUCCCGACGUGUGGGCCUUUCUUCCGUAUUUCCUGAUAACCCCCUGCAGAAAUAGACAAACACCAAAACUCGUGGAAUUCUAUCAGAUAAAACCCUAAGUCUAGAUGUUGAUUUCAUUUAGAUCCUUUUCUUUGUUUAUUUGAUAAUUAAAUUUGACACUUA